AAAAACAAACUGUCAUUAAAUGUUUGUGAUCUCUACACGAACAACAACAACAAUGUGUCUGUGUGUCUACCAGAGAGAGAGAGAGAAAGAGAGUGAAUGAAAUUUCAGAAAAAAUAAAGUAGGUACAAACAAAUCAAGCAAAGAACAACGAUAUAGAAGUAGUAUUCUAUUAUCUAGAGUCUGACGACAACUAUAGUUCUAUAGAAUAUGUUUUUUUUAGUGAUAAGUAUAAUGUAUAUGCAUAAAAACAUUCAUAUUGGAAUUAUGUAAACAUUUUGUCUUUUUAAACAUUAACAAAUGUUGGUUGGUUGGUGGGCCACCAUUAUCCAUUCGUUGGAUGAUGAUGAUAAUGAUGCCCGGUAAAAUCCCUUCUUGACCACACAUUUUGAAUGCCCGUAUUUAUUUUCACAGCCAGCAAAUGAUAUAAGAAUCAUUUCCAUGUGCCCAGAUCAAUCAUCAGACAUUUGUUAAUCUUUGUUGGUUGCUUGAUAAACGAAACAAACAAAACAAACAGCCACACAUUCAUUUGAAUGCAAUGUGAUUGCCAGCCAACCAGCCAGCCAGCCAGCCACUGUGUGUACCAAAGCUAGAAACUACAAAGUAACCCAUUUGGGGUUGAACUUUGUUGGCAAACUGCAUGCAUUUGGCCAUGAGGUCAAGCAAAAUGUUCAAAAAAAGAUAAUAACAACAAGAUUAAACGCUUCAAACAAAACAAAAAACAACAUUAAUUUUUUUUCUUCAAUGGAACAUACCUCG